rnacentral:rRNA from 1 species
GGUGAACGCUGGCGGCGGGCUUAACACAUGCAAGUCGAACGAUGAAGCCGAGCUUGCUUGGUGUAUUAGUUGCGGACUGGUGAGUAACACGUGAAUACCCUGCCCUUAACUCUUUGGUAAGCCUUGGAAACUGGGUCUAAUACCUAAUAGCCGCUCCGACCUCAUGGUGGGUGUUGGGAAGAUUUAGCCGUUGUGGAUGGACUCGCGGCCUAUCAGCUUUUUCGUGGAGUAAUGGCUCACCAAGGCGACGACGGCUAGCCGACCCUAGACUGUGAACAGGGACAAUGGGCCUGCGAGACGCAGCAGACUCGUAUGUGAGGCAGUAGUGGGGAGCAUUGUCCAGCGAGUGCAAGCGUGAGGAAGAGACGCCGGGUGUGGGAUGCCGGCUUGUGGGGUGUAAAAAUCUUUAAGUAGAGACGAAGCGAUAGUGACGGUACCUACAGAAGAAGCACCGGCUAACUACGUG